rnacentral:rRNA from 1 species
AUUGAACGCUGGCGGCAUGCCUUACACAUGCAAGUCGAACGGCAGCGGGGGAGAAGCUUGCUUUUCCUGCCGGCGAGUGGCGAACGGGUGAGUACUACAUCGGAACGUGCCCUGUAGUGGGGGAUAACUAGUCGAAAGAUUAGCUAAUACCGCAUAUGACCUGAGGGUGAAAGUGGGGGACCGCACGGCCUCAUGCUAUAGGAGCGGCCGAUGUCUGAUUAGCUAGUUGGUGGGGUAAAGGCCUACCAAGGCGACGAUCAGUAGCUGGUCUGAGAGGACGAUCAGCCACACUGGGACUGAGACACGGCCCAGACUCCUACGGGAGGCAGCAGUGGGGAAUUUUGGACAAUGGGCGAAAGCCUGAUCCAGCAAUGCCGCGUUUGUGAAGAAGGCCUUCGGGUUGUAAAGCACUUUUGUCCGGAAAGAAAUGGCUCUGGUUAAUACCUGGGGUCGAUGACGGUACCGGAAGAAUAAGGACCGGCUAACUACGUGCCAGCCGCCGCGGUAACAC